CGCGCGCCGCCGGGGGCGGCUGACUCAGCGGGGCCGCUGCCGACGCCGGGAUCUGCUCGGGCGCGAACCCGGGUCGAGGGCCCGCCCACCCUCUCGACUCAGUGAGAGAUCAUGCUCUCUGGUGCAGGGAGAGCCAUCCAUCCAUUCGUCUCACCUGUCAGAGGGAAGCAGGGAGCAGAAGAUGGCAGGUUGCUUCCAGCUCAGGACUCCACUUCAGCAGUGACACUGACACAGCCCUUGGGGUCCCUUUGGAUCUUCCUGAGGAGCCGCCUUCACCUUGCACCCCCCCCUUCCCCCCCACUGGCCUCACUUCUGUGUGCAGGCACAUAUGCUGAGCUGGCCCUUGGAAUUCUGACCUGUCCUCCUGUGGGAGAGUCUGGUCAGCCAAGCUGAGCAGCCAUGGGCUGCUUUCCUUUGUUCGAUACAUCAAAUCUCUUUGUGUAAAGGUUGGUUUUUAAGGUUUUAUUCAUUUUAUUGAAGUAAAACUUUCAUAUCUUAAAUGUUCAGCUUGAUGAAAUUUUAUGUAUGUAUACCCUGAGGAAGCCAUUACUCAGAUUGUUGUGAGUCCUGUGCCAUUUAGUACAGUAGCCACCAGUCCCUUGAAAUGUUUCUAGUUUGAACUGAGAUGUGCUGUGAGUAUAAAAUACACAUGAGACUGUGACAACUUAAUUUUUUAAAAAAAUAAUAUAUAUCUUUGAUUUUUAAAAAUAUGCAAAGGUAUUUUGGAUAUAUUGUGCUAAAUAAAAUAUAUUAAAAUUAUUUUAUCUAUUUUUUUUAGUUUUUUUAGUGUGGCUACUAGAAAAUUUAAAAGUAUAUCUAUGCCUUGCCUUGUAUAUAUUUUUGGACAGUGCUGAUUUAGAACAUUCCCAGC
rnacentral:lncRNA from 1 species